UACGUAGGGGGCAAGCGUUGUCCGGAAUCAUUGGGCGUAAAGCGCGCGUAGGCGGCCCGGUAAGUCCGCUGUAAAAGUCCAGGGCUCAACCCUGGAAAGCCGGUGGAUACUGUCGGGCUAGAGUCCGGAAGAGGCGAGUGGAAUUCCUGGUGUAGCGGUGAAAUGCGCAGAUAUCAGGAAGAACACCCGUGGCUAAGGCGGCUCUCUAGUACGGUACUGACGCUGAGACGCGAAAGCGUGGGGAGCGAACAGGG
rnacentral:rRNA from 1 species